AGCGGUUAGUGGCGGACUGGUGAGUAAUGUAUAAGUAACCUGCCUAUCAGAGGGGAACAACAGUUGGAAACGACUGCUAAUACCGCAUAUGCCAUAAGAGCCACAUGGUUCAAGUGGGAAAGGAGCAAUCCGCUGAUAGAUGGACUUAUAUCUGAUUAGCUAGUUGGUGUGGUAACGGCAUACCAAGGCGAUGAUCAGUAGCCGAACUGAGAGGUUAAUCGGCCACAUUGGGACUGAGAUACGGCCCAGACUCC
rnacentral:rRNA from 1 species